GCGCCCGUAGCUCAGUUGGAUUAGAGCAUCAGACUACGAAUCUGAGGGUCGGGGGUUCGAGUCCUCCCGGGCGCGCCA
rnacentral:tRNA from 4 species